UAAAAUUUACCAGCUGAGUCGCAGUAGUGUUAUCUAGGUAGGCAUUCAGAAAAACGGUGGUUGCUGCAAACCGUUCCGCCUGAUAGCACGAAUUACAGCUCAAUGAAUUCUGGCCGCGGGUCAUGCCGAUAUCCAUGAGAGUGAUGCAAAGCAUAAUUUGGGUGGUACCGCGGUGAAAGUCGUCCCUGAU
rnacentral:misc_RNA from 1 species